rnacentral:rRNA from 1 species
GCAAGUCGAACGUGACCUAUCGGAUUUAUUCGGUAGUAAAAGUGGCGGACGAGCGAGUAACACGUAAGUAGUUGCCCCGUACUCAGGGAUAACUCGGCGAAAGUCGGGCUAAUACCGGAUGGUCUCGUAAGAGUAAAGCUUUUGCGGUACGGGAGACGCUUGCGGUCUAUCAGUUUGUUGGUGAGGUAACGGCUCACCAAGACUAUGACGGAUAGCUGAUGUGAGAGCAUGAUC